rnacentral:rRNA from 1 species
AGCAGCCGCGGUAAUUCCAGCUCCAAUAGCGUAUAUUAAAGUUGUUGCAGUUAAAAAGCUCGUAGUUGAAUUUCGGGGUUUAUCCGUUGGUCGGGCUUUUGGGUCUGUACUGACGUGAUGGAUUCCUACCUUCUGAAUAACCAGCAUGCCAUUUUGGUGCGUUGGGGAAGCAGGACUGUUAUCUUGAAAAAUUAGAGUGCUUAAAGCAGGCUAUUGCCUGAAUACAUUAGCAUGGAAUAAUGAAAUAGGACGCAUGGUUCUAUUUUGUUGGUUUCUAGGAUCACCGUAAUGAUUAAUAGGGAUAGUUGGGGGCAUUAGUAUUCAAUUGUCAGAGGUGAAAUUCUUGGAUUUAUUGAAGACUAACUUCUGCGAAAGCAUUUGCCAAGGAUGUUUUCAUUAAUCAAGAACGAAAGUUAGGGGAUCGAAGACGAUCAGAUACCGUCGUAGUCUUAACCAUAAACUAUGCCGACUAGGGAUCGGACGAUGUUAAUUUUUAAUGACUCGUUCGGC